AUUGAACGCUGGCGGCAGGCCUAACACAUGCAAGUCGAGCGAGCGGCGGACGGGUGAGUAAUGCCUGGGAAACUGCCUGAUGGUGGGGGAUAACUACUGGACACGGUAGCUAAUACCGCAUUCCAUCCGAUGUGCCCAGAUGGGAUUAGCUAGUAGGUGGGGUAAUGGCCUACCAAGGCGACGAUCCGUAGCUGGUCUUAGAGGAUGAUCAGCCACACUGGAACUGAGACACGGACCAGACUCCUACGGGAGGCAGCAGUGGGGAAUAUUGCACAAUGGGCGCAAGCCUGAUGCAGCCAUGCCGCGUGUCUGAAGAAGGCCUGCGGGUUGUAAAGGACUUUCCGCAGGGAGGCGUUACCUGCAGAAGAAGCACCGGCUAACUCCGUGCAAGCAGCCGCGGUAAUUC
rnacentral:rRNA from 1 species